UUACGAUCAAAUCCUAUUGAAAACGCCGGUUCUCAUUCGAUAAACAAAGUUAACUAGUGUCGAGCCCGGUCAGUACUUUGAUGGGGGACAACUUGGUAACACCGGGUACUGUAAG